AGCAGACUUUGUGCUUAUGAAAUGGCCUGUUGAAUGAGAUGAGGAAAUGAUACUUAACUCAGUAAGGUGUUCCUAUAUAACUGCCUCUGCACCAGUCUUGGUGACUCAAGUCCUUCUCUGCUAAAUCAAAUUAUGUUCAGAUCUUUUUCCAAGACUCCAAAGAAAAAAAAAAGGGAGAUGCUCUGCCUAAUGAGAACAUUACUGUAUUUGUGAGCCCUGUUGGUAAAAAUACUAAAUUGAGAAGGCCAAUGGAAUUAAACAGUUGGUCAUAACCAGUCUUAUUCAA